rnacentral:rRNA from 1 species
AUUGAACGCUGGCGGAAUGCUUUACACAUGCAAGUCGAACGGCAGCACGGACUUCGGUCUGGUGGCGAGUGGCGAACGGGUGAGUAAUGUAUCGGAACGUGCCCAGUCGUGGGGGAUAACGUAGUGAAAAUUACGCUAAUACCGCAUACGAUCUAUGGAUGAAAGCGGGGGAUCGCAAGACCUCGCGCGAUUGGAGCGGCCGAUAUCAGAUUAGGUAGUUGGUGGGGUAAAGGCCCACCCAGCCAACGAUCUGUAGCUGGUCUGGGAGGACAACCAGCCAGACUGGAACGGAGGCACGGUCCAGAAUCCUACGGGAGGCAGCAGUGGGGAAUGUUGGACAAUGGGCGAAAGCCUGAUCCAGCCAUUCCGCGUGCAGGAUGAAGGCCCUCGGGUUGUAAACUGCUUUUGUACAGAACGAAAAGGUUUCUACUAAUACUAGGAGCUCAUGACGGUACUGUAAGAAUAAGCACCGGCUAACUACGUGCCAGCCGCCGCAGUAA